rnacentral:rRNA from 1 species
GAGAAUCCGAGGCAUCGUAGAGAUAGAGCUUCUCCUUCGGGGGCAAAGUGACAGGUGGUGCAUGGUUGUCGUCAGCUCGUGUCGUGAGAUGUUGGGUUAAGUCCCGCAACGAGCGCAACCCUUAUUGUUAGUUGCCAUCAUUUAGUUGGGCACUCUAGCAAGACUGCCGGUGACAAACCGGAGGAAGGUGGGGAUGACGUCAAAUCAUCAUGCCCCUUAUGACCUGGGCUACACACGUGCUACAAUGGGAAGUACAACGAGUCGCAAAGUCGCGAGGCUAAGCUAAUCUCUUAAAGCUUCUCUCAGUUCGGAUUGUAGGCUGCAACUCGCCUACAUGAAGCCGGAAUCGCUAGUAAUCGCGGAUCAGCACGCCGCGGUGAAUACGUUCCCGGGUCUUGUUACACACCGAG